GACGAACGCUGGCGGCGUGCUUAACACAUGCAAGUCGAACGAUGAAGCCUUCGGGUGGAUUAGUGGCGAACGGGUGAGUAACACGUGGGUGAUCUGCCCUGCACUUUGGGAUAAGCCUGGGAAACUGGGUCUAAUACCGAAUAUGAUCAUGCUCUUCAUGGGGUGUGGUGGAAAGCUUUUGCGGUGUGGGAUGGGCCCGCGGCCUAUCAGCUUGUUGGUGGGGUAAUGGCCUACCAAGGCGACGACGGGUAGCCGGCCUGAGAGGGUGACCGGCCACACUGGGACUGAGAUACGGCCCAGACUCCUACGGGAGGCAGCAGUGGGGAAUAUUGCACAAUGGGCGCAAGCCUGAUGCAGCGACGCCGCGUGAGGGAUGACGGCCUUCGGGUUGUAAACCUAUUUCAGCAGGGACGAAGCGCAAGUGACGGUACCUGCAGAAGAAGGACCGGCCAACUACGUGCCAGCCGCCGCCGUAAGAC
rnacentral:rRNA from 1 species